rnacentral:rRNA from 1 species
UCGGGAAUUUUGGGCAAUGGGCGAAAGCCUGACCCAGCAACGCCGCGUGAAGGAUGAAGUAUUUCGGUAUGUAAACUUCGUAAGAAUAGGAAGAAUAAAUGACGGUACUAUUUGUAAGGUCCGGCUAACUACGUGCCAGCAGCCGCGGUAAUACGUAGGGACCAAGCGUUGUUCGGAUUUACUGGGCGUAAAGGGCGCGUAGGCGGUGUGUCAAGUCAGUUGUGAAAUCUCCGAGCUUAACUCGGAACGGUCAACUGAUACUGUCACACUAGAGUACAGAAGGGGCAAUCGGAAUUCUUGGUGUAGCGGUGAAAUGCGUAGAUAUCAAGAGGAACACCUGAGGCGAAGGCGGGUUGCUGGGCUGAUACUGACGCUGAGGCGCGAAAGCUAGGGUAGCAAACGGGAUUAGAUACCCCGGUAGUCCCUGAGCGGGCUGGCAAGGCGCAU